GGGCACUGCCUUAUUAAAAAAACACGUUCCGACCGUGUGCCUGCCUAUGUGACGGUGUACGAGUUCAGUGUCGUUCGUUCUCCCAUCUGCCGUCCAAAAACGGAACGACAGUAUAAUUUUAGCUGUUGAUUUGUAUGGGUGUGAAACAUAGUCUCUUACAUUUAAUGGAAAAACAGUGAUUGAGGGCGUUCUGAGAACUAAGAGAAUAUUUGGACCCAAGACAAACUGACACGAAGUUGGGAAAUAAUUACAAAAUGGGGAGUUCUAUAAUUUGUUCGCUUCACAAAAUGUUAUUACGAUGAUCAAAUUAAGGAGGGUAAGAAGGGCAGGUCAUGUAGCGCGCAUGGGAGAAGAAAUUAAAAUAUCUUGAUUGGAAAGCCUAGAGGUAAGAGACAACUUGGACGACCUGGCAUGGAUGAAAGAAUAAUAUUAAAAUGGGUCUUCGAGAGACAGGGAUGAAGCGUAUAGAUUGGAUUUAUCUGGCUGGGGAUAUUGUGAAACCUUCGAUUCCUAUGAAAGGAGGAGAAUUUGCUUACUGGUUUUUUCAAGAAGGAGUCUUGCGUGUGUAGUUCGUGUUUGUUCCGCGAAGACACAAAUAUACACAUAGGAAGUUUUACCUGUCUACAAAGACGUGGCGGUGUGCCUUUACCAGACAAAGGAUGACGAAACAUUUCGCACUCGUAAUACAGGAUUUGCAACCGGAAGACAUUUGUGACGUUAGAGUAUCCCAUGGCAACGCAGAAUGACGUAUAAAGUUUAUCAGGCAUGAGAAGAGAAACUUCUGUGUUGAACACACCAAAGCAGAAGACGGUCCACGUAUCCUGAAGUUUUCCCCAGAAUCUUGAGGAUGUCAAAGUCGACGUUGUGUCCCACUUCUACGCUGUGCUACGCCACGUGGCCGACCAAGUCGUAUGUGUCUCCUGCAUUCUUUACAUCUGGUUCUGCCAGUAAAUUUGCAGACAGUAACUCGGAAGAGGCAGUAGUCUGAACAUUGCUUUAUAACAACAGCUUUUGUGCUGCGUUGCAAAUGGGAAAAAGACUCGUGUGUUUUCCUGUGUUGCGAAUUUGUAUCAGUAAAUUUAUCAAAGUGUGUAUUUGUGUAACGUGAAUUCUGAAUGAACAAAUACACUUAAAAAGAUCACCACGA